rnacentral:rRNA from 1 species
UACGGAGGGUGCGAGCGUUAUCCGGAAUUACUGGGUUUAAAGGGUGCGUAGGCGGCCAGGUAAGUCAGGAGUGAAAGUUUGCGGCUCAACCGUAAAAUUGCUUUUGAUACUGCCAGGCUAGAAUUAGGAUGAGGUCAGCGGAAUGUGGCAUGUAGCGGUGAAAUGCAUAGAUAUGCCAUAGAACACCAAUUGCGAAGGCAGCUGGCUAGACCUGGAUUGACGCUGAGGCGCGAAAGCCAGGGGAGCAAACGGG